UACGUAGGGUGCAAGCGUUGUCCGGAAUUAUUGGGCGUAAAGAGCUCGUAGGCGGUUUGUUGCGUCGGCUGUGAAAUCCCGAGGCUCAACCUCGGGUCUGCAGUCGAUACGAGCAAACUAGAGUGUUGUAGGGGAGACUGGAAUUCCUGGUGUAGCGGUGAAAUGCGCAGAUAUCAGGAGGAACACCGAUGGCGAAGGCCAGGUCUCUGGGCAUAACUGACGCUGAGGAGCGAAAGCAUGGG
rnacentral:rRNA from 1 species